GCAUGCUACAUUAAGAUAUAUCAAGGUUGGAGACCAAAGUUGAGAGGCUAAAGUCCUUUUACAUGCUACAUUAAGAUAUAUCAAGGUUGGAGACCAAAGUUGAGAGGCUAAAGUCGGUAGUACAAGUUAAAGAUAUGGAGAUUGCAACAGUUACACAAAUAGAAGCCAAAGGUAAGGCUGCUUUUAAAGCUCAAAUUGACAAGCUACAGUAGGAAAAUGUUGAACUCCAGAGAAGGGUUAUUGGCAAUCAGCAAGUAGGAACUCAACAAAUACCUGAGGUGAAGAAGAAAGAAAAGGAGUACAUCAAAUUGUGUGUGAGAUACCUUUUAGUUAUUUUUCGGUUCUAGGCUCAAGUUGGAUUCAGGUUAUAUAGGAGUUUUUGUAUGUCUAAACCAAGUCAAGUCUUAAUGGAGAAAAAGAAAGCAUCUAUAUCAGGAACGGAGAUAAUGAAUUUGCUACAAAAAGAGGGGUGACGACGUGGAACUUGGAAUGGCAAGAAAACUGAUAACGAUUUCUAUAAAAGGAUAGUGGAUGCUUAUGAAGUUAAAAAUCAAGAAUUGACGUCAGAGAAUGCUUAUUUAAAGACAUUGACCAGUAAAUGCAGGUUUGCAACAAUUUUGUUAUUGUCUGUGUUUUAAGUUUACUAAAUUUUUAUCAAAUAAAUUUUGGAAGGGGUGGUGAGCAUGCAAUAAAACAAGUUUGUAGAAUGCAUCUAUUCCGUCUUAUUAAUUUUGUGAUAUUGAGGUUUUUUGCCAUUCUUUUAUUGAAUUAUUUUUGUGAAUUUUAAUUCUUGAAGUUCAUUGUUUUAUUGGUUUAUUUGAUAGACAAAAAAACCCCCUAAAUUUGUAUCAGAUAUGGUUUUAGUAA